UACGUAGGGAGCGAGCGUUUGUCCGGAUUUAUUGGGCGUAAAGGGCGUGUAGGCGGCCUGUUAAGUCUGAAGUGAAAAUCCAGGGCUCAACCCUGGAACUGCUUCGGAUACUGGCGGGCUUGAGUGCUCUAGAGGGCAGUGGAAUUCCCGGUGUAGCAGUGAAAUGCGUAGAGAUCGGGGAGGAACACCAGGUGGCGAAGGCGACUGCCUGGGGAGUAACUGACGCUGAGGAGCGAAAGCGUGGGGAGCCGAACAGG
rnacentral:rRNA from 1 species